AGUCGAGCGGUAAGGCCCUUCGGGGUACACGAGCGGCGAACGGGUGAGUAACACGUGGGUGAUCUGCCUUGCACUUCGGGAUAAGCCUGGGAAACUGGGUCUAAUACCGGAUAUGACCUCGGGAUGCAUGUUCUGGGGUGGAAAGAUUUAUCGGUGCGAGAUGGGCCCGCGGCCUAUCAGCUUGUUGGUGGGGUAACGGCUCACCAAGGCGACGACGGGUAGCCGACCUGAGAGGGUGACCGGCCACACUGGGACUGAGACACGGCCCAGACUCCUACGGGAGGCAGCAGUGGGGAAUAUUGCACAAUGGGCGGAAGCCUGAUGCAGCGACGCCGCGUGCGGGAUGACGGCCUUCGGGUUGUAAACCGCUUUUGACAGGGACGAAGCGAAAGUGACUGUACCUGUAGAAUAAGGACCGGCCAACUACGUGCCAGCAGCCGCGGUAAUACGUAGGGUCCGAGCGUUGUCCGGAAUUACUGGGCGUAAAGAGCUUGUAGGCGGUUCGUCGCGUCGUUUGUGAAAACUUGGGGCUCAACCUUAAGCUUGCAGGCGAUACGGGCGGACUAGAGUACUUCAGGGGAGACUGGAAUUCCUGGUGUAGCGGUGAAAUGCGCAGAUAUCAGGAGGAACACCGGUGGCGAAGGCGGGUCUCUGGGAAGUAACUGACGCUGAGAAGCGAAAGCAUGGGUAGCAAACAGGAUUAGAUACCCUGGUAGUCCAUGCCGUAAACGGUGGGUACUAGGUGUGGGGCUCCUUCCACGGACUCCGUGCCGUAGCUAACGCAUUAAGUACCCCGCCUGGGGAGUACGGCCGCAAGGCUAAAACUCAAAGAAAUUGACGGGGGCCCGCACAAGCGGCGGAGCAUGUGGAUUAAUUCGAUGCAACGCGAAGAACCUUACCUGGGUUUGACAUACACCGGAAACCUGCAGAGAUGUAGGCCCCCUUGUGGUCGGUGUACAGGUGGUGCAUGGCUGUCGUCAGCUCGUGUCGUGAGAUGUUGGGUUAAGUCCCGCAACGAGCGCAACCCUUAUCUUAUGUUGCCAGCGCGUAAUGGCGGGGACUCGUGAGAGACUGCCGGGGUCAACUCGGAGGAAGGUGGGGACGACGUCAAGUCAUCAUGCCCCUUAUGUCCAGGGCUUCACACAUGCUACAAUGGCCGGUACAGAGGGCUGCGAGACCGUGAGGUGGAGCGAAUCCCUUAAAGCUGGUCUCAGUUCGGAUCGGGGUCUGCAACUCGACCCCGUGAAGUUGGAGUCGCUAGUAAUCGCAGAUCAGCAACGCUGCGGUGAAUACGUUCCCGGGCCUUGUACACACCGCCCGUCACGUCAUGAAAGUCGGUAACACCCGAAGCCGGUGGCCUAACCC
rnacentral:rRNA from 1 species